ACAAAAGUAUGAGUUUAUCACUCGAUUUUCCUCUAGCCUUACCUCCUGCUCAUAGAGUUUCUUAAGCAGCUUCAUAUUGGGCGUCACAGAUGACUUGUAGCAGCAAUCAGUGUAUAGUUUUAUCAACCUCUUUUGAACCCAUCUUGUGUCGGUAACAGGUAAAAUUGGAUUGGCUAUUAACAUAAUGGAAAGAAGUUGGAAAACAAUACAUUUCCUUUUAGAAUCUUUUAUGUUAUUGCUAGCAGAAACUAUUAAAAAAACAAAAAAUAUACAACUUUAAAUCUAAAAUCAUGAAUUUCAAUCAGUGUAUAGUUUUACUGUUGUUUGAUUUAGUUAUCAGCAUCAUUCAUGGUAUUUUAGUGAUUCACUACCCGAUUAAUAAAACCCAUAUUUUAAUUCUUUUAAUUUUAUGGAUUUUUGGAAUCUGAUUUUGGUUUUUGAUGUUUUCUCAGCGAUUGACUUCUUUGGUGUUUAUCUCACUUCUGUCAAAUCUCUUUCUGAAGGCUGCUACAGAUGCUUGAUUUGUUCAAGUCGGCAACAACUGCAGAGCUCCAAGCAAAUAAGUGGAGUGAGCCCUGGGGCACCCAAGUCCAGCGAGUCGACUAAUUCCUGGUCAAGCCUGGGCGUCGCACCGGCCUUCAACGGCGCUGUUUUCUGAAAUACUCUUCACGUCGGUAAGCAAUUAAGACUUUUGGUUCAGUUUUUAUUAUGCUCAAUUUUGUAUAUGAACGAAAAAAAAACUUAAAUUAAUUUGGGGUUUUCUUUAGUUCAAAUAUGGGGGUUUUGUGAUUUUGGAUUUAGAAAUGGGUUUUAUGUUGAAAUUUCCUUUUUGUGAUUUUGGAUUUAGAAAUGCAUUUUCAUUUGAAUUUUUUUUUUUUUUUUUUUUUUUUUUUGUGAAUUUGCGGGACUUGCUGGAGGGAAUUGGGUUGUCGAUGAGAUCCAAGGGCGGAGAUUGGGAUGAGAAGAAGAUACUGAGAUGUUUUCCAAACUCUUCAGCUUCAUUGAAACACUGUGACUCUCUGUUUUCUUCGAUGUGUGCAAAGAGAAAUAGGCGGGGUGGAAUACCUGAAGAGAUCAAGAAGCAUGUCGUGCACUGGAACAAAGAUACUUUCCUCUCCACUUCUCUUGCAACCCAUAUCCACAGUAUACUCUUCCUCGAUUCCCCAUAAUCUCAAUGGCGGUAACAUCGUUCGAGCAUGUUAGCUUCAGUUCCGGAUAGCCGCAACUCUCCGGCCUUCCAUCUCCCCAAAAGGGAAAUCCCACUUGUGUGAUGUCUCCACAGUGAAACGCGUUACUAUAAUUUGUGUACGAAUCAAAGCUUGAGGACAAAGGAAAGUUGAUGAAAACAAAGAAGGCGAAAUGGGAUGAGAAGAAAAGCCAGGAAUUCAUAUUUUGGUAGAAAUGAAAUGAAUAAAGUAGGUUGUGGUUGGAGUAGGAGUUGGAGUGACACUAGGUAAAAGGAAGGAACUAGAGAGAGAGGAAAGGAGCUAGUGACGUUAUAGGACAAAGCUUAUUCAAAGAAAGGAAGUUCACCCAAAACAAAAAGAAAGGGAUGGGACAAAUUAUGAGUACUUGAUGUUUUGUUGACUAUUUAUCUUUCUAUUUAUUUA